rnacentral:rRNA from 1 species
GACGAACGCUGGCGGCGUGCUUAACACAUGCAAGUCGAACGGAAAGGCCCUGCUUUUGUGGGGUGCUCGAGUGGCGAACGGGUGAGUAACACGUGAGUAACCUGCCCUUGACUUUGGGAUAACUUCAGGAAACUGGGGCUAAUACCGGAUAGGAGCUCCUGCUGCAUGGUGGGGGUUGGAAAGUUUCGGCGGUUGGGGAUGGACUCGCGGCUUAUCAGCUUGUUGGUGGGGUAGUGGCUUACCAAGGCUUUGACGGGUAGCCGGCCUGAGAGGGUGACCGGCCAAAUUGGGACUGAGAUACGGCCCAGACUCCUACGGGAGGCAGCAGUGGGGAAUAUUGCACAAUGGGCGGAAGCCUGACGCAGCCACGCCGCGUGCGGGAUGACGGCCUUCGGGUUGUAAACCGCUUUCGCCUGUGACGAAGCGUGAGUGACGGUAAUGGGUAAAGAAGCACCGGCUAACUACGUG